ACACCAAACAAUCAUACAUUCUGUAUGCAGGAGUUGCCCAUGAAGUUCUCUCGGAUUUGUGGUGCUCCAAUAUCGUAUGUUUUGUUUAUUCACACAUCCUGACAAAUAGAAAUGUGCCUAGUCACUAAAGAAAAUAAUGGCGUCCUUAGGCAGGUUUUCGAGUAUUUUCAAAUGCAUUUUUUCACGAAAAACUCGUCUCACUAUGGAGUUAGAAAUUCCUAAAGC